ensembl:lncRNA
GGGAAGUGUUCUUUCACUGAGCUACAUCUCUCGCCUGAGUAGUUUUAUCUCUAGUGUUUUGAAUAUUCUAUAAAAUACUUUUACCUAUCAUAUAAUGGUGUGUAUAUGAAAAUUACCUGUUUUAUUUUGGAAACUUUAAGAACUAUAAAUUUAUAGAAUUUUAUGUGGUUUUCUGUUUAGGAAGGAUUUGUGUGUUGAUUUACAAGAGACUGUAAUAGUUUGCAGAAUGAGGCUUAGAGUUUUAACUUUUAGAGACAAGUUUAUUAUUUUUAGACUGAGUUACCAUGGAAGUGUUUAUUUCCUUCUUGAGAAUUAAUACAUUCUUUUUUGUUUGUCAGGAAUUUGUUUUUCACUGUAUCAUCAGCACUUGGAAAUGUCCAGAGUCCUGCAUCAGAGUGAAGGCAGAGGGUUUUGUGUGUGCUUUGUUUGAGCUGGUUGGCCUAGUUUCAGUGAGCCUGGUAUUAAUGAGGCAAAGGUCAGGAGUUCCAUUUAGCUUUAGCCUGAAUGAUGGCCAGGGAGUGUACCUCUCACUCCCUCCAGCUGUCUUGCAAAUUCCUUGGUUGUCAUUGGUCACAAAGGUGACUGGCUGAGGGCUAAUCUUUACACUAUUAGAAGAGUAUUAGAGGAAACUUACUGUAGUGAUUAGGAAUUUUGACUCUGGAAUUAGAGAGACUUAUGUUAAAACCCUUAAAUCUGCAACCUUGGGAGAGUCCCUAAACCUCUCCAAGCCUUGUUUCCUCAUUAUUAGGGAAGUUAAUAUUUGACCGGGGCACCUCCUGAAUGAAUCCUUGCUUUCCUUUUCUAAGUGGGAGCUAGCUACUUAGACCCGUAGGUACCUAAAUACUGAACUUUGCCAGUGUAUGACAAAAGUUUUCACUUGUCUGAGUGAAAUGAGAAUGUUAGUUUUUCGUGAAGCUAAAUCUAUUGAAUUUAGAAGAAUUUUUUUCUAAUUUUAUCAUUUUUGGUGGGAACAUGCUAUUUUAUGAGAUAAUGUAAUGGUCAUUGAUAGUUUCUUUUUUAUUCCUUCAGCAGCAUAAAAGUUGGCAACCCUAUGCUGCCCCUAAAGGUUCGGUGAAAUUUGAAAAUCUUGGCUUAAAGUACCUGAGGGAUGGAUGGGGGAGAGUAUUUAUCCAGUAGAUUUAUGCUUGUUCAAGUUAGGUUUGGGUACAUUCUGCCCUUCCUUUGUCCUAUAGAAUGUGGUGGCAAAGCUAUGGCACGUGUGCCGCAGCGGGCUCGUAGAGCCAAGUCGUCCCAGCAUUGACCCAGUGGCGGAGCACUCAGAUUUAAUUGCAAUGUUGGCAUUGUGUGCUAAGCGAGUUUGGGUUGCAAUUUGGGCACUUGAUCUCUAAAAGUUUUGCUGUCACUGUUAUAGAAGGUGUAUAGUUAUUCUCACCACCAUUGAACUUAAUUUUGUCAGGUUUCACAGUUGAUACUUAGAGCACACUUCAAGGGGCAGUUUAGGCUAUUUUUGGUUGCUGUUCAUCUCAAUUGUUGCACUUUAUUUGUUUAAGACUGUGUUUCUCAAAUAAAGCCCCAGGAGAAAGGUGGUAAACUGGGAGCUGCUUGAGGGUGCUGCUUUAUCACUCUGUUGAUUAACCAAGAUGAAUAACUUGCCUUUGACUUAAUGAAGUAGCUGAAAGUGGCUUUUUCACCCCUUCUGCAGGAAAGAUAGUUGAAGCUAAAAUGAGAAGAGCUCUUUUUAUUUAAUAUAACAUAUAAACCUUGUACAAGUGUCAGUAUUUAAAAUGCUUUCUGGAGAAAGAGAAUAGUGCAGCACCGUGCAUAAUGGGUUUUGUAAGUGGGGCCACAGAAGUCCUGCGAGGACACAAACCAAUUAUUAACAUAAACGCUUAAUGAAAUUGCAUCAGUUGUCUAGAUGAGAAGCAUAGUGCUCCCUGGUUCACUUAGAGUGAGGGAGGGGUACAGGAAUUUAAGGUGCAAACCUAGCAUAGGUAGGUGACGGUUAAUUUAACAGACAUUUGUUUCCUUUCAGUGUUUUCAGUUGGGUAAUUUUUUGAGAGUGCUAUAGAAAUACAGUACUUAAACAUGUAUUAGAAUGCCUAAAGCAAAAUGCUCAGAUUAAGUUGAAAUAGCUUGGGCUCUGUUCUUACAUUUAAAAGAAAACUGAAGGUCUGAUGCUUUAGAUAAGAAAGGUUAUACUGAUUUAUAGAGUUUUGUUGUAUAUAAUUGUUUCUGGUAAUUAAAAAUUUUUUUUUAAAUUUUAAUUCAUUUAUUUUAACAAUGCUUUAACUUUUCUACCAAGGACUCCCAGUGGCAGAAGUGAGUUGGAUGAUUGCCCUCAGAAGUCCAGGGAUGGUGGCCCAAAGUGUGUCUGCUAUAAAUUGAAAAGGCCUUGCUUCCUUACUGGGAUGUGAACUCAGGACCUGGAUCUUCCCAGGCAGGUCUUAUUAUGUAGUUCAGGCUGGCCUUGAACUCAUGUAGCCCACACUGGCCUUGAACUCAUGGUGAUUCUCCUGCCUCAGCUUCCCAAGAGUUGGUAUUACAGGUGCGUGUCACCAUGCCCAGUUGGCAAGUUUUACAUUGAAUAUUUAUUAAAUGCUAGGCACUUAAGUAUAUUAUUUAAUUAGUUUUCACAAUACUAUAAGUUUUUGAGGGGCUAAAUAUAAAGACCUUAUUUGUGAUUAGUUGAAUAUGUAAAUAAUUGAAAAAAAUUGGUUGCCAGGGAGUCAUAGUGUUACAUUUUAAAAAAUUUUUAACUUGAAUAUACUUUAUUUUCUUCCAUUUUCCCCCUAUAGAAUUUUUCUUCCUGUAUGGGCUUUUAUUAGAGUUCUAGAUUGUCUUUUUGGCAUAAUCUACACCCAUGGAUAGGCAUUAUCUAUUAAGUGUCCUACUAGUGUGUUUUUUCGUAUAGAAGAGAGAACUUGAAGGCAUUUUCACUGUAAUAUAUAAAAUCCAUCUACAGUGUUUUGUUUGUCUUGAGAUGGGGCUAUGCUGUAUUUUCUACGUUGGCCCUGAACUCCUGAGCUCAAGCCAUUGUCCUGCCCCAGCCUCCAAGAAGCUGGGACUUAGGCACAUAUCAUUGUGUCUGGCUUCUACUCUUUAUGCUUUCCCCACUAUUCUUUUAAAGCUAUUUUAUAUAUAUCUAAUUUUGUAGUAACUUAAAGAAAUUAGCUUUUGAAUCUUUUUGAACUUUUCACAUAAACAGCCUCUUCCUGCUCAUAAUUCACUAGUUUACAUAAUUUUAAAUUACAUAAUUACAGUAACAAGUACAGUUGGCAUAACUAGUUUGAGAACAAACAGCUGGCCCUUAUUAAGCAUCCAGCUCAUUUAGUGCAAGCAAUAAGUGGGGGAAAUACUAAGUACAGUAGUCUACUUAGAAAACCCCACCAGGUACAAGGGGUCAGCUUCCAGUGGCCACUAGAAAAUGAUUUAUGGAAGGAUUAGCAAGCUUUAUUUCUGUAAGUUUCUUUUUUUUUUUUUUUUUUUUGCUACCAGGGAUUGAACUUGAACUCGGGACCUUGCACUUGCGAGGCAGGUGGUGGAGCCACUGAGCUAAAUCCCUGGCCGUAUUUCUGUAAGUUGAUAAAAUAGAGAUCUGUUAAAAACAUUUCUGCUGAAUGAUUAUUUUUGUUUCCUUUCUAUAGGUGAGAAAACUAAGGUAUCAGAGAGCUAAGUGGUGUCAAGGUCAGGGAGAUAAUAAAGAGAGCACCUCAGGAUUUGUACCUAGAUCUUUUUGGGGGGGGGUACUGGGGAUUGAACUUGGGUCCUGCGCUUGCGCAGCGGGCAGCGAAACCACUGAGCUAAAUCCCUGGCCCUGUACCUAGAUCUUUAUGGAUUCAAAUAUAGUAUAUCUUUUUUUUUUUUUUUGAUACCGGGGAUCGAACUCAGGACCUUGCGCUUGCAAGGCAGGCACGGAACCACUGAGCUAAAUCCCCAGCCUUUAUAGUAUAUCUUCUUACCUGCUAUACAGGUGCUAGACGCCUUUCAGGUCAUCUAAUUUAUCUAAUAUUAAGUAUUCUGGAGUAGUCUUUAGGUCAAGUUUGGGGUUGCUUUCUUACAGUUGCUCCAUCUUAGGUCCUAGUUCAUUUUGCUCCUUAGUUCUUUUACACUCUAAAAAGUGGGAGUGCAUUCCAGGGUGAAAAUUAAGUUUAUAAUCUUUUGAAAUUUUAUAUUGGCUCUGGAUAUGUGGGGAUUGUAUAUGGCUUUGACCUUGCAAUGUUAUAAACUGCUAUAAUAAUUGUGAAAUUUAAAGGAAAACAG